UUAUGUUGUUUUUCAUCUCCGGCUUAGCCGGUGUUAUGGUCGGAUUGAAGUUUUUCAGACUUAUCUUUGUAUAAGAUCUGGAUUUUGUUUGUUCUCUCUUUCUACAUGAUUUCAAAUUCAAAUUCCGUUUGCUAUUUGAAAGAUUAUGUUUGCUUCACUGUCAGCUUGGCUCUUCUCUUCUGAAGAAGUAAUAUCUUCGUCAACUUACUUCACCUUCUGGUAUGAAGUGGACCUUUGGAGGUCUUAAAGCGGAGCUUUCUUUGAAGAGUUUUGGAGUUGAAAUAUAAAGAUUCAUUUGAGUUUAUUGCUUGAAAUUUUAAGACGGUAGCAGCAAAAUCUUGCAGAUCGACAGCGGUGGAACAUGUAGAAGGAGUCAGCGAUGAUGGAUCUGCAGUCCGGCGACGGCGCUGCGCUAGAUCGUGGAUGUGGCCGGUGACGAUCGUGGCAAAUCUCCUCCUUCUCACUUUUGGACACGUGUUUACACGUGGCACUUUCACUCUUAUCCUUAUCAUUAAAAUUGGAUUAGGGUAAGUGGGCUUAAUUUCAAAUGAAAUUGUAAAUGUAGAAGAAAUUGGGCUUCUGUUUCGUCUCAUGUAAUACCCAUUUGGGUUUUCAUAUUAAUAAAUAUGAAAUAGCUGAACAAAAAAAAAAAAUCUGUAACUAUAUAUAUAUUUAUAUAUAAUUUAAUUAUUAAAGUAUGUGAUAAGAAAAAAUUAUGAUAUUUACGGAAUGCUUUUUUUUUUUUGGGGUAAAGGGUUGAUAAUUACUUAAUGUUAACCAAAUCAUGGGAUCAUAUAUGACAAGCAAUUAAUUUGACCAUACCAAAUGACCUGAAAAUGCCCAAAUCUACAUGCAUGUGCUUAUACGUUUUAAACGUGGCAUUAUUGAUUCGAAAAUGACAUUCGGAUUAAGAAGUGAAAAGGCUUAGUCGGUCUAAUGAUUAGAUUACUUUUAUACUUUAUACAGAAAGCUGACAGUACCUGAAAACGAUUUAAUACUAUAUUUAGUAACAAUUUAAAAGUGGAUCGAAAAUAAUUGAUACGUAUAUACUAUAUACUUGCUUGUUACUACUAUACAGUACAUGACAUCGCAUUUAUUAUUACAGGAGUAACAUUCUAAGUAGGAGUAUGUAACAACUUUUGUGCCGCGUGUACUAUAACUUCAAAAUUUUAGAUUCACAAGGGACCAACAUGUACAUAUAUUAGAUUUUGGUAGCCACGUAGACUUCACCUUCCUACUAUAUAAACUUAGAUUGUUUUCAAAUCUUCAUGACAAGUUGACAACACUUUUGAUCUUUCCCAGUCACUAAAUAUAAGUAUUAUCAGUUUGACACCACGAAAAUGGACUAUUCAAAAAAUGUUCAAAACGAAAAUUUCACCCUUGUUUCACAACCUUCUUAUUUGACAAGAGAUCAAGAGCAUGGUAUCAUGGUCUCUACUUUGCGACAAGUGAUAUCCAACACUGGAGGUGAUACGUCAUCAUCUCACUGGAUUGCAAGUGAAGCUCUUCCACCUCCGGACGCUGGCCCUUGUCCUCUUUGCGGCGUCACCGGUUGCUACGGGUGCGCAUUCCCACGGCAUGAAGAGGUAAAGAAGGAGAAAAAACACAAAGGAGUGAGGAAGAAGCCAUCAGGUAAAUUUUGUUCUAAUUAGUAUGUUAUGUUCCAACAACUUUUGAGUCUGUACGUUCCACCGGUUUAUUACUUUAUUAAGUUAUUUAUCAGGAAAAUGGUCUGCGGAAAUAUGGGAUCCGAGUAUGAGAGCAAGGAGGUGGCUUGGAACGUUUCCAACGGCGGAGAUGGCAGCGCAUGCUUACGAUGAGGCAGCGGCUGAGCUUGUUGGAAAAAGAUCAGCGAGACGUGGCACAAAUUAAAGAACUUGGCGGUGGAGAUGACUGAAAAAGUGUUUGGUCGGUGAUCAUAACUAUAAACGGCGAGGAAUAAUAAGCUAUAUUGCGAUAGUUAUAGUAGUUAUAGAUGCUUUGGGGGAGAAAUUAAUACAUUAUUCAGAGGAGUUGUGGUAUUUUGUAUGAGAACCCACCACUUAAGUAGGGUUUCUCUUUUUUUUUUUACUAAGAGGUCUUCAAAUUCAAGUUUUGAGGGAAAAAAAAGUUCUAUAGAGCCCAAAAAGUUUUGAUAAAGACCUCUCUAUUUAGUGAGCUUUAACAUUUGCAUUUGGUUGGGCUUUAUCAUUAUUUUGGCUUUUGGGCUGUUUUGUGAUGAUGAAAACCUCUGUUUAUGGAAGAGUUUUCUCCUCUGUUUCUUAAUUGCACUUUAUUUGAGGCAGAUACUCCACACCACAGAAGGUAGACACUCUGUUUAUGAUGAUGGAGUCGAUCAUUGAUUUAGUCCGAGCAUCUAAAACCACAAUAUUCCCAAACUGAAAAUGGAGUAAUUAUCAAAUAAUAUACUACAAGUUAAGCAAAUUUUAGUCUUACCAGUUAAAAAAUGCUUACAAUGUAAAUAUCUUAAUUUGGUAGGGAAAUUAAAUUUGAGUACGAUAUGCUGAAGUGAGCAGCAAUGUGAAGCCAGCGUUUAUUUGUCUGCGAUAGUCUACUUGACUCUCUCUAUUGAAUAAUCGGCUUGAAACUAGAAUAAUUGACAAAUUCCGAACAGUACAUUAAUGACUUAAAUGCUGACUUGGAUAAAUACUUAUAUACAUAAAUAUAUAUAUAUAUAUAUUUAAAACAUGAUAUGUUCUGUACAGUGUACAAGCCAACUCUGCAUAAAAUGGUACAAUAUGAAUUCGAAAGUGACAUGUAGAUUAAGAAGUUGAUUGGUUUACUCGGUGAAAGAGCUAAUUUGUUUUAUAUAGAAGUUAUACUCUAAUUAUAGAAAGUGGAUAGUAUGAACUGAUAAUCGAAACUUGGGUACAUAAUACCAUAUAUUAAUAAUAAUGUAACGAAAGGAACAAAAUCUAAAGAUGCAGUAAGUUCUUGCCGCGUGGAUUACAUGAGACGGUGCCAUUGAGACCCACAUGCUUAUUCGAAACGUGCUCCUUUACGAGAACGACGCGGCCUUUUUUCCCUUCAAUUCCAAUAGUAUAUGUGAAAGUGAAACAGACGGAAUAAGUGAUGGUCUGAUGAAAAAUGAUUGAAAUAAGUGUGAUGCAAACUUGUAAAUAUAAGAAUUUCAAAAAACUUUUUUAUUUAUUUACAAAGAAAAUGAAAACAUAACAUUUUUAAAUGUCUUAUAUAUAUAUUUUUAAAAAGUUUCAUAUAUAUAUAUAUAUAAAUGUCACAUAUAUAUAUAUAUAUUAUCUUUAACAUAUUAUUAAUAAAUAUUGAUUAAAAAUUAUAUUAAAAUCUUUCAAUAUAUCCAUCUUUUUAUAUAUUAUACUCCUUCCGUUUCAUAAUAUAAGUCAUUCUAGAUGAAAGCACGCCAAUUAAAAAGAUAAUACUUUUAAAAAGUUCAACCAAUCAUAAAAGAGACUACAUAAUAUAAAUAAUCAUAAAAUAUUAAAGUAAUAUAUAAUUUGUAUCAAAACUCGAAAACGACUUAUAUUGCGAAACAAAAAACUUUUUCCAAAACGCCUUAUAUUAUGAAACGGAGAGAGUAUAUUUUGUUUAUAAAAAUACAUUAUUUAACUUUUAAAUAUUAGAGACCAUUUAAAAUUUGAUAAAUAUGUGCGGCUUUUGUUGAUUAAUUAGAACAUAUUAGAAAACUUAGUGAAUUACUGAAUUUGAUUAAAGAGUUACAGUAUUACAUUAUCUUAUCAAAUUCAAACCCGUAUAUAGUCUACAAUUCACUCAAAUUAUCUUAAAUCAAUUAACAAACAAAAUGUAUUUUAAAUCAUAUUUGACUAAAUUAUUUUGUAAAAACACACACACGAGCAGAACAUGAUGUUUUUUUUUUUGUCAAACGAACAUGCUUGUCUUCGUGUACCUUUUUCCGCCUACAGACAGUGAAAUGUAGCUUAUAUGCUUUUAUUUUCUUCUGUUUAACCACAUUCAUGUAACUAAUAAUUUCGACGAAUGGUAGCAAAAUACGGCCAUAGAAAUGCUAAAAAGGUAUAUAUCACGUUUAUGUUUCAAUUCAUUGGCUAUAAAAGGUCCCUAGUCACUCCCUUUUGUUUUUAAAUCUUCACACCAUUUGAUCCCACCAAAAUGGAUCAUUCAGAAAACGUUCCAUCUAAUGAUCAACACGAAAAUGUCACCCUUGUUGCACCAUCAGAAGGUGAUCACCUUCUUCUUCGUACUUGACAAGAAAUCAAGAGCACGAGAUCAUGGUCUCUGCUCUGCAACAAGUGAUAUCUAACUCCAGAGCUGACGCGUCAUCAUCAAAUUUGAUCGCAAGCGAAGGUCUUUCGCCUCCAGACGCUGGCCCUUGUCCUUAUUAGGACAUAAUGUUCUACAUCGGAAGUUGGAAGGGCUCCUAAGUAAUAUAUAAGGGAUAUGGGCCACUCCACUCAUUGCCAAUUGGUUUUGAGUUGGAAGCCCAUAUUCUAAUAUGGUAUCAGAGCCCGAUCCACACACGUCCAACCCGAUCCGACCUAAAGAUGGUCCAAUCAUCGACAAGGCCCAAAAUUGAUGCCGUCGAUCUAAGCCCGAACAUUUCGAGAUUAAUGGCCAAAGAGCCAUCAUCUCGAAGGGGCGUAUUAGGACAUAAUGUCCCACAUCGGAAGUUGGAAGGGAUCCUAAGUAAUAUAUAAGGGAUAUGGGUCACUCCACUCAUUGCCAAUUGGUUUUGAGUUGGAAGCCCAUAUUCUAAUAGUCCUCUCUGUCGCAUCAUCGGUUGCGAAGGCUGCACAUUACAACGGCCGCACCGAGAGAUAGAGAAGGAGAAGAAAUACAAAGGAGUGAGGAAAAAGCCAUCGGGUAAAUGGGCGGCGGAGAUAUGGGAUCCGAGUUCGAAAUCAAGGAAGUGGCUUGGAACGUUUCUAACGGCAGAGACGGCGGCGAGUUCUUACGAUGAGGCGGCGCGGAGCUUGUCAGGAGAACAUCAGCAAGACGUGGCAAAACGAACGGAGGAAGAAUUAAACGGCGGCGGAGAUGACUGAGAAGGACAUGGACACAUGGUCGGUGAUCAUACACGGCGAAGUGGAAAUGUUUUUUUCACUAAGAUUAAUUAUUUUAAUUAAUUCUAAAAAAUUUCAUUGUUUUUUGUAUGAAGAUCAGUAAGAUUUUUUCUCUAUGCUAUAUAUUAGACUAUUAAUUAUGGUCAGUUUAAUGAAGUUCAAAAAUAUGAAUGGAAGAUACAUGAAGAAAUUGAAUUAACAGAGGUUUAUAAUUAUUGGGACUGUUUAGUGUAGAAAACGGUGCAUACAGUAUUAUUGGAAAUCAAAAUGAUUAUUAAUAACACAAUAUUAAAUGUUUUAAAUAUGUUUGAGAAAAUUAUUAAAAAAUCAACAUUUAUGAAAGAGAUGGAGUAUAAACUUUUGGUUAAUACAAUAUUGUGAAUGGUAAAGUGUUCUGGUAAAUAUGAUACUCCCUCUGUUCCUAGAAGAUUGAUUUUUUAAACAUUUCACAUUUUUUAAGAAACAAUCAUUGUUUAAUUAUUUACUUUUAUUAAAUAUUUUUUAAUAAACUAUGAACCAAUAGUAAUCUGAAAUAGUUAAUCAUUACGCCUUGAAAUCUACGAUUUACUAAAAUCAAUUAAUUAAAAAUAAAAAAAAAUCUAGAAAAUCAAUCUUUGUGGAACAAACUCAAAACACUAGAACAUCAAACUUCAAGGAACGGAGGGAGUAUGACAUAUCCAAAUGAUUAUGCCAGAAGAUUGCCUUUGCUUAGUUGGCUAUAUUAACCUCUAACGAAAAUUAGUUGAUGGAUAUUUUGAAUUUACCAUUUGAUAUUUAGAUUGUAUACUUUUAUAUUUACACCGACCGCACCAGCUAUCGUGUUGACCUUGCAUGCAGUGCCGGCUCAACAUUUUUAUGGGCCCUAAGGCAAAAAAAAAUCUUUAUACUAUUUUUGUUAAAAAUAUUAAUUACUAAUACUAAAAACAAUAAAUAAAAAAUUUUAUAGACUUUUUUAAAUUUUAUUUUUGUGUUAUAAUCUAAUUUUUUAAUAUUUUUUAAAAAAUAUUUUAGAAAAUGGGCCCUUAAUUAUUGGACUACGGGAUUGGACCCCUGGCCGUCGCACCGCCCGCCCACCCAUCUGAGCCGGCACUGCUUGCAUGUAACACCCCACUUUUUUCCUCCGAUUUUUGUAUGGAACCCUAUGUUUUAUACAUCAAUAUCUAAUUAUUUAUGCGUAAAAUAUAUAUAUUCACGCAAAUAUACGUCCCUAAAGAGAAAAGAGAUUUUCAUGAUUAUUUUUGAAAAAAGAGAAGAUUUUGAAAGAUGACAACAAGCAAAAGAUAUCAUGAACUCGCAUUGCAUGAGAUGGGAUGGGGAACCUAAGCCUAUGAAAUAUUUUGAACGUUUACAACUUAGGGCCUACUAUUUGAAGAAAUAAUUAGCAUCAAUCAACGACUUAUCCCUAUUAACCAAAAUAAUCAACACUAAUCAUUAAUUUCUACUUACUAUCUCUCUCGUAACUUACAGAAAACAUAUAAUGAUUUUGACGGCUCAUCAUCUCGGAGAACUAAAUACCCACUUCCCACUUCUCANNNNNNNNNNNNNNNNNNNNNNNNNNNNNNNNNNNNNNNNNNNNNNNNNNNNNNNNNNNNNNNNNNNNNNNNNNNNNNNNNNNNNNNNNNNNNNNNNNNNAUGGGCCCUAAGGCAAAAAAAAAUCUUUAUACUAUUUUUGUUAAAAAUAUUAAUUACUAAUACUAAAAACAAUAAAUAAAAAAUUUCGACUUUUUUAAUUUUAUUUUUGUGUUAUAAUCUAAUUUUUUAAUAUUUUUUAAAAAAUAUUUUAGAAAAUGGGCCCUUAAUUAUUGGACUACGGGAUUGGACCCCUGGCCGUCGCACCGCCCGCCCACCCAUCUGAGCCGGCACUGCUUGCAUGUAACACCCCACUUUUUUCCUCCGAUUUUUGUAUGGAACCCUAUGUUUUAUACAUCAAUAUCUAAUUAUUUAUGCGUAAAAUAUAUAUAUUCACGCAAAUAUACGUCCCUAAAGAGAAAAGAGAUUUUCAUGAUUAUUUUUGAAAAAAGAGAAGAUUUUGAAAGAUGACAACAAGCAAAAGAUAUCAUGAACUCGCAUUGCAUGAGAUGGGAUGGGGAACCUAAGCCUAUGAAAUAUUUUGAACGUUUACAACUUAGGGCCUACUAUUUGAAGAAAUAAUUAGCAUCAAUCAACGACUUAUCCCUAUUAACCAAAAUAAUCAACACUAAUCAUUAAUUUCUACUUACUAUCUCUCUCGUAACUUACAGAAAACAUAUAAUGAUUUUGACGGCUCAUCAUCUCGGAGAACUAAAUACCCACUUCCCACUUCUCAUGUACUUUCUCUGUCUAUGAAUAUACGUUUAAGUGUUUAUGUAUAUAUACACAUACACACGAUUAGUAGUUUCCUCCUUCUAAAACAAAAGAACGUUACAAUAUAUCUAUAUACCUUUUAUUUUCAAUCGAAAUGGCUGAUCAAAAACCUCUAAUGGUCUGGUCAGAGGCCAACAACUAUGAAUCAUUCCUUCAAGAAGACAUAUUCUCGUUUCUUGAUCAAUCACUUUCCAUCGAUCCUCACAGGUAAGUCACAGGUAACUGUUUGAUUAAACAAAAAAAAUGAUUUGCUUGCGUUAGAAGAAUCUAAAAUGCUUUUUGGGUUGUUUUGAGUUUUUGCAGCUCUUUCAUUAACCCUUUUAAGGAUUUUCAAACCCAAACUUGGUUUUCUUUCCAAGACAGCAUUGUUAAUCCUAUAUCUACUACCUUUGCGGCUGAUCAUACGUUUCUGGCUUCACUUGAUCUUGAAGCAAUCUCUAGUACUUUCUCUCUAGGUAUAUAUAUACAUAUAUGCAUGUAGAUAUACACACACAUAUAUGCAAGUUUGGAUUGUAAUUCUAAUCUUAUAUACAUUGUGUAGCAGAUAUAAUGAGCGGAUGGUGGAAUGAUAAUAAUGGUAACUACAAUAACCAGGUCGAACCAAUUCUUGAUGAUAUUUCAAGAACUAAUACCAUGGGAGAUCCAAAGAUGGAGAAAAUAUUGCAUGAAGAUGUUAACACAACUAUAAAAGAGAAAACAAGCCAGAAGAGGAUAAUUAUGAAGAGGCGAUAUAGAGAAGAUGGAGACAUCAAUAGUUUGUCAAGGGAAAUGAUGAAGCAGUACUUCUACAUGCCGAUAACUAAAGCAGCCAAGGAGCUUAACAUUGGUGUAACCCUCUUGAAGAAAAGAUGUCGUGAGUUAGGUAUUCCUCGUUGGCCUCACCGUAAGCUCACGAGCCUUAAUGCUCUAAUUGCUAAUCUCAAGGUGCGUGCGUCAACAGACAUAUAUACAAUCGACUUGCUUAUACAUUUUGGGGUAAUAACACUUAUAUAUGUGAUGGUCGUUUUGAAAGGACUUAUUAGGGAACACGGAGGGGAAAACGCCCAAGAGUAAGCUGAGGAACGCUUUGGAGCUUUUGGAGAUGGAGAAGAAGAUGAUUGAGGAAGUUCCGGAUUUGGAAUUUGGGGACAAGACUAAGAGGUUAAGACAGGCUUGCUUCAAGGCUAAAUACAAACAGAGACGGCUCUUCUCGUCUUCUUCAUGAGAGCAAGAGCUCGUGUGUAGAGAGAUCUAACCUUCUAUGACUUAAGUUAAGUUUGGUACUAUAUGACGAGGCGUGCAAAACCAAGAUAAGAGUACUAGCUAGUCGUCUCUUUUGAUUAUAAUCUAAUUCUCAUGAAACUUGGAUCCAUUCCAGUUUUUAUUUUGUUUUUUUUGUUUUGACUUUUUAGUUUUUUUAGUUGAAUUGGUGGUCUUUUACAACUAAAAAAAUUCGAAUGAAUCGUUUUUCUUUUUAUUUGAUUCGAUUUGGUUUUUAUUGGGCUUAAAUUAGUAUUUGAGAAAGCCCAAACAAAGUAAUAAUCAGUCAUGGCCCAAUUUAUCCACCGCACCGCGCAUUCCAAUAAUGAAUUUGCUAAAGAUCAACGGUGAACUGAUCAAUAAAUCAUGAACAUCGAAAAACUACAAUUUUAUGAUGAUCACUUACUCACUAGAAAGAGUUACAUAUAACACAACUUGUAUUUGGAUAUUAGAGACAAGAGAGAAUCACAAACACACUCGUGACAUACACGUGUCAAAGUCUCUGCCCAUUUCACGGACAAGAGAAGACAUCGCCACUAUCAAUCCACCGAUAAUCAGCAUCGACGGUGGCUCCGUCAUUAGCCGCGGUGGUGUGGAGAAGACUCUUGAUUUUGUGAAUACAUUUGUGGUUGCGGAUGCGGUUUAGAACGGCUCUUCUGUUCAGCGUUUGCGUUUGCGUUUGCGUUUCAGACGAUAUCAGAUGUAGCUGCUUUGACACUACUUGCUCCUCUUUCGAACUCACCUCUCCUUCCAAAAUCACAAACUCCAUUGUACUAGAGAUAAAAAGAAAAAAAUAGAAAGCUUUUCGAUUUCUUGUUGUUGAUGGAACAAAGAAGAUAUUGUGUAGUAAACAACACACUCGUGUGUAUUUAUAUAUAUUAAUGGUCUAAUGGAUAGGUGAGACUUCGUAUUCAGAUAAUAUUAUUAGUUGUUUAUUAAAAAUUCUUUUUAUUUUUAGUGGAAAAUAAAUAGAUAUUACGUUGGGCUCUUGUCCCGUUGGUUCUGUGAAAACUGGUGGCUGAUUUGGCAUUUCAUUAGUUUAUUUAUAAGAAAGGUACACAAACUAUGUGCUCUCCUACGUGCAAUUCGCUUUCGCGUUGAAUUAAUCUAUCCCCUUGCGAUUACUGCCUUCUUAAUGCCUUAAAUGGAGUACUUUAUUCUUGCCAUUGCUUGCGUUAACGACACAUAACGACAAUUAUAUUUUACAAUUAACAUAAUCAUAUUGAAUUAAUAAUUACAACUCCAUUUUUCUACUCUCUAAUUUUUCUAAUAAAUUAAACGGUAUGAGUGUAUGGCACAUAAAUAAAUAGUAUAGAAAAGGAAUAGUCGAAUGAUAAAAUAGCAUUAUUUUUUUUAACAUGUUUAUCAUUUUAAUGAUCACAAGUUUUACGUUACGAAAUACAAAUUCACCGUUUAGUAUACCACCAACCAAAACAUUAGCCAUUAGAAAAGGCUAGCUUAGGCCAUCUUGAAGUCGCAUUAGUUUGCUAAAAAGAGUAAUUUUGUUUAAAUUUUUGGAAACAAGUUAUGACACAAACGGUAGAUAACCUCAAUUUAUGUUCAAUCAACACAAUCUUUUAAAAUGUUAGUAAGAACCAUAUAAUUUGGAAUUUGGGAUUAUUCUAACUGAUUUACAAAAAUCUAAAUUUGUGAAACUAUAUAAUAAGAAAUAACAGUAACACAAAAGAUUCAUAAAAGAAGCAAAAACAUAACAUAGAGUUGUAUAUUCUUAAGGUUACAUAGCAAGAACUUGGUAUUUAUGUCUAGUCAUAGUGGUAGGCAAUCUCCCACUGACAAUACGAACUUGAAUCUCGUUGCAUCUCCCAUUACUUGGGACAAUAAACUCAAAUAGACACUUAUGGGUCAGCAUCAUGUUAUGGCUUUUACAGAAACACAACCAUGAUUCAUGCGAGAACUUGACUCCUCUACCGUGAUUCACAAUCUUCAAAGGCCACUUCUUUCCAUUUUCAUCACAAAGCCCAACUUCUUCCUCCAAUUCAAUCCCGUUCGAUCUCAGAAAAGUUAACGGUAUUUCCUAGCAACACAUAGAAAUUGAUAUUAUGUAAACAACCAUUAUUAAGAGUUAAGACAGAUUUAUAAAAACGGUUCUUUAAGCUCACCAAUUUCUGAAGUGAAGCGAUUGUGAUAUUCCUUAGAAAAUGAGGAUGCUUGGGUUUAUAAACCGAUUCUUCAAAUCCAUUGUGUUCCUUCUCAGGACACCAUGAUAUGUCACAAGGAUCUACGUAACACCGAAUGAAAAAAAGUUAAAAAAACGCAAUAAUGUUAAUUAAACCAAAAAAAAAAAAAUGUUAAUUACCUCCAGCCCGGUUAACUGUUCUCUGAGUCUUUUCACGAUGCUCCGGUUUGGUUUUGUUAGUUGAAACAUAAUCCGGUUUAUUGUUAACCAUAACACGAGGAUCUUCAUUAACCGAAUCGCGUUUCCGUUUCUGGUUAAUCCUAUGGCCACAAUCUUUCCUAAGUUCCGGUUCAGUAGAAAUAUCAACCGGUUCUUUCUCAUCAACAGAAACCCUAGAUCUAUCCGUGGUUGUGACGACACCAAUAUCUUUUUUACAUCCGUCUUUAGCGAAAAUCGUAACGGAGAAUCUCGAAUCGCCGUCGUAGCGAAACACAAGAAAGUCUCCAAAUUCAAGAGAUUGAUCGUUUGCGAAACUUUCCCAACCUUUUUUGAACAAAACACAGAAUCUUUCUUCUGUGUCUUCUGUUUUUGUCUCGACACACCAUAACCGUCCGAUCUCAUCGACUAAGAACGCUUCUUUAGGUAAUUCCUUGUCUAAUAUGUCAAUGAAUGCAGGAGGAAUCACCUGCAGAUUUAUUUUGUAAAUUAAUCUCCUUUAAAACAUGCAUGGAAUAUAUUUUUUGAUAUUAUAUAAGAAUUGAGAUAUACCAGUUCGUGAGAGCUGAAUUCAGGGAGAAAGACCUUGAAAAAUUCUAAGUCUUUACCAGCAGUUUCUUCAACCAUGAUUUUUUCUGUAGUUAGGGUUUUUGGUAGUGAUUGAAUUAAAACUAAAGAGGGUUAUCAAGAAGAUCACAGAAGCAAAAGAUAUUCUUGGAAAAGACGAGAGGAUCUAUAACUUGUGUGAUGUUUCUCUGACAAGGGUUUAGAGAGAGAGAGAGAGAGAGAAUAAGGUAAAAAAAUAAUCAUAACUUGCUUUCUCUGCCCUAGUUUCUUAUAUAUGUGUAGAGCCCUUUAACUUGUGAUUUUUACAGCUUAACACCUUCAAAAACAAUAUACCAAGGCCCAUACACUUACCAAAUCGGGCCAAUCCUGCCGAUUUGGGUCGACUACAGACUCAAUCAAGGAAUCAACCACGUCACCAAAAACUACAAUCCCUAGGAGUAGGAUUGCUGGACUCGAACCACCUAAGCACCAUGGAAUAGUCAACCAUACUCUGGCGACCGAAUCUCUAAUUUUGUCGAUGGCGUUGGAGGAAGUGAGAGGUAGGAUAGGCCGGUCCUUUGAAGAGAUGCGUAAAACAAGCAACAUGGAUUGGAUGAGAUUGAAGAGUUGUUUGGACGAGAUCACAUGCGCUUUGCUUGACGCCGAUUUUCCUAGAUUGGCCGUGGAUGAGAUUGAGAGGAAUAGUCAGGAAAUUAUCAAUCUCCCUAAGGCGUCCAAGAGGAAGGGCAAACUAAUCUACGAGGUAACGAUUGAUUCUUUGUAAUAUAUAUGUGCUCCUUCUUAGGGGGUCUCUUGAUUCAACUAACUCCACCGCUUCAGGUGAUGUUAGCUAAGCUCUCUAGUAAGCUAGAUCCGGGAAAAUCUGCACUCAUCCGGGGAAAGCAUGAACCUAGCAUAGUCAUGUUCAUCGGAUUACGAGGUCGGUUAGUCUGUAUUUUUGUUUGUUUUUAGUAAAAAUGUUUGAGAAAACGUAUUUAUGAAAUAUAUGAGUGUGUAGGUGUUGACAAGACCAAAACGUGUGCCAUGUAUGCUCGUUACCACCGGAAGAAGGGAUUCAGACCAGCUUUAGUGUGUGCUGAUACUUUCAGAAUCGAUGCUUUUGUCCGGCUCAACAAGGCUGCGAAAGAUGAGGUUCCAGUUUACGGAAGGUAUAUAUAUAUAUAUAGACAAACAUAUUCUAAUAUACAGUUGUCUUGAUCGAAUUCACCUAUUUGGGUUGGUUGGUUUCUUUUCAGUUACACGACAGAUCCUGGAACACUUGCCGCUGAAGGAAUCGCAAAGUUCAAGAAUGACAAGCGUGACCUUAUAAUUGUAGACACCAGUGACCGGCAUAAACAGUAUUCCACAUUGUUUGAAGAGAUGCGCCUACUAGCCGAAUCAAUGGUGUGUUUUUGUUAUUCUUUUUUUAUUAUCUUGUUGUUGAUCAUGGUAACCAGCUAACGUAGGCUUUUUUUUUGGUCUUUCUUACAGAAUCCAGCUCGUGUUGUAUAUGUCAUGGAUAGCAGUAUUGGUCAAGCUGCAUUUGAUCAAGCUCAAGCAUUCAAGCAAUGUUUCCCUCGUGGAGUUGCCAUUAUUACUAAUAUACACGGCAACGCUAAAGCCUGUGGUGCUAUCAGCGCGUAAGCAUUAUUACAAGUUUUCUUCUUUUCAUUUUCUAUAACAUCAUCUUGUGAUCUCUUCUUCAAGUGCCUGGUCUAUUCAUGCAAAUGAUGUUUUUUUUCUUCUUCAUGUUGUCAAGUGUUGCAGCAGCAAAGUGUCCCAUGAUAUUAGCUGAAACGGGAGAGAAGAGAGAGGAUUUUGAAGCAUUUGAAGCUGAAGCUUUUGUCAGGAGUCUCUUGAGUAAGCAAAUUCCUUCAUGUCUUAUCCUUCUCUGCUUUGGUUUCUCAUUGAUGAGUAUGGACACUCAUGAUUGGUCCACUUUUGUGCAGAAAAUCCAUGGGAUAAGCCCUAUGAAUAUACUUUGAGACUAAUGUAUCAUUGUUAUAGGCGAGAAUUAGGAUUGGAGAAAAAUGUAUAGUUUCAUCUCUCAAUAAACUCUUGUUUAGUUAUUAUAGGGAAUACAAGACAUUGUAACUCGUAAGUUUCUUCCAAAUUCUCUGUAGUUGCUUUCCCACCUUGGUCCUUCUAGGUGUUCGAAGCUAAACCAGAGAAGUAUAGGCGGUGCACGACAAUAAUGGAGUCCAUGACAGAUGAAGGUAAUACUAAUAAUUAUGACAUGGUUAUGGUUUAUGGAUCAAAACUUGUUUUUUUACUCGAUUGAAUAAUAUUCUUGGUCAAUUUGGCAGAGCUUGAUAACCCAAACGUAACGCAAAUGAGCGAGGAACGGAUGAUGGAGAUAGCUGAAGCAUCAAAAGUAGAUGUGAAACAAGUUGUGCAAAUGAUGAUAACGUUCAAGAUCAAGGCCAAGGGGGUUAUGGAGCUUGAGGAGAGGAGUCGCAAUGAAUCUGAUAGACCGCCCAAAUUAAAUUGCGCUUUUCCAACGUCUGAGCUUACAAAUUAUGCAUAAUAUGCUUUUUGAUUAUUUGUUUGGAUUCGUUACUAAGUAUUUAUAUCAGAUACGUAUGUGUAAAAAACAAAUAAAUUUGUAUAACUAUAUGUGGUAAUUUGGGUUGUAUGGAUAAUGACCGGAAGACCAGUUUUUUGUACGGUCGGAUAUUUUUCAAUGUCCAUGCUAAAUCUAACAAGCAUUUGUAUCCAAUUACUCGUUUCGUAAUUAUAAAUUUCGAAAUUUAUCCAAAUUAAUUUAAAAUUGUUAAAAACUAUAUAAAAUGAUCCGAAUUGACAACGCCUCUAUAUGAUUGAGAAGAUUCGAUUUUUGAAGCUCUUAUGAUAAAAAAUCCCUGAGACGCAAAAACCCUGUAAACCCCCAAAUAACCGGAGGAAAUGUUGAGCCAUCUCUCUCGGACCUUCUUCCGUCGUAAUUGUCGUUUCCGGCAACAACAAUGUCGCCGUUACAAGCCUCCGAAGUCCCAACCGCCUCCUCCACCACCACCAGCGUUACCAAAACCGCCGAAGAAGCCUCAAACUUUCACCUUC
rnacentral:lncRNA from 1 species